GUGAGGAAUUUUCCGCAAUGGGCGAAAGCCUGACGGAGCAAUGCCGCGUGAAGGAUGAAGGCCUAUGGGUUGUAAACUUCUUUUCUCAGAAAAGAAUUAUGACGGUAUCUGAGGAAUAAGCAUCGGCUAACUCUGUGCCAGCAGCCGCGGUAAGACAGAGGAUGCAAGCGUUAUCCGGAAUGAUUGGGCGUAAAGCGUCUGUAGGUUGUUUAAAAAGUAUUCUGUCAAAGAUUAGGGCUUAACCCUAUAAAGGCAGAAUAAACUUUUAAGCUAGAGUUUGGUAGAGGCAGAGGGAAUUCCCGGUGGAGCGGUGAAAUGCGUAGAUAGCGGGAGGAACACCAAAGGCGAAGGCACUCUGCUGGGCCAAUACUAACACUGAGAGACGAAAGCGAGGGGAGCAAAUGGGAUUAGAAACCCGGGUAGUCC
rnacentral:rRNA from 1 species